GACGAACGCUGGCGGCGCGCUUAACACAUGCAAGUCGAACGGAAAGGCCUGCUUUCCCUUGUGGAUUGCGGGUACUCGAGUGGCGAACGGGUGAGUAACACGUGAGUGAUCUGCCCCCAACUUGGGUAUAAGCCUGGGAAACUGGGUCUAAUUCCCGAUAGGACUGCAGGGUGGUGCCUGUGGUGGAAAACGAUUUUCUAGUGGUUGGGGAUGAGCUCGCGGCCUAUCAGCUUGUUGGUGGGGUAAUGGCCUACCAAGGCGGCGACGGGUAGCCGGCCUGAGAGGGUGGACGGCCACAUUGGGACUGAGAUACGGCCCAGACUCCUACGGGAGGCAGCAGUGGGGAAUAUUGCACAAUGGGCGGAAGCCUGAUGCAGCGACGCCGCGUGGGGGAUGACGGCCUUCGGGUUGUAAACUCCUUUCGACCGCGAGGAAGCCACCUGGUUGGAAGGGUGGCGACGGUAGUGGUAGAAGAAGCACCGGCUAACUACGCG
rnacentral:rRNA from 1 species